rnacentral:lncRNA from 1 species
UCUUUUCAGGGGAGACCUGUUGUCUGACGUAUUUUACCAGCCAAACAAGUGUGUGCAAAGCUGUUUGUCUGAAGAGAUAUUGAACAAUUGUUCGGUCCCUCUGACUCACUGUAAAAUUGGAAGAGAUACAGCGUUCAGCAAAUUCUGUGAAUUAGUAAGCAGAAAGCAUAUUAAACAUGCAAUGUUUAUAUAUCAUAAUGUAUCGAUGAUUUUAUGCACCUCAUUUUGGCAUUAAUUUUUUUGUGAGGGUUCAUAGCACUCUAGUAAACCUUCUAACGAGGCUGUAGUAAAAACUUCACUGCUAUUAAAGCUUCACUGAAACGUGCAGAAAGCGACAUCCAGUUUAGGUGUUUGCAUGUGUUGGCACAGAGGCUAGCAGUGUAACACUGAAAUUUGGAAAUACUGAUGUCUGGAGAUGUUUUCUCACCCCAAUAGCUUGUGCAUCUGUUAGAUUCCAACCCAUCCAACCUCUGAGCGUAUGUACGGCUUUAAGGCUGGAAAAGUCUGAAAUUAAUUUAAUUUUACUGAAAUUAAAUUAAUCAAAUGCUUAAUAUAAUGGCAUUUUUAAAUGUUAUGCUGGGCUGGGGCCUAAAUCAAUGGAAUUACAGGAAUCUGCCCAGGUGAAGCACUGACAGGAGACGAAGUUCAGCCCCACCAGGAGACGUGGCAGACUCCCGGUUGGCGCUGCGCAGCGUCACCGGCGUGACACGCGCAGUGAAAUUGCCUCAUUCGGCACCUUGGCCGCGGGGGCAAACCCCAGCUCUGCAGGGCACCCGGCUUAUACCCGCAGAAGAGCCCUUUUCCCGAGAAUCGCCUGGCUACCCUGGUGUGACAAAGUUAGAAAUCUUGCUGUACUCUGGGCACCGCUCCUUAGGAGGUACUGGGAUUGUUCAUGUCAGUCUGAGCGUCUCUGCAUGUGAGGUAAGCCUAGGAACUUUCUUCUGCUACGCAGGCUGUCCGGAGGAGUCAGUGUUACAGCUUAGUAUUUGUGGCAUUACCUCUGCAAUCUUGGAUAUAAUCCUCUGA